rnacentral:rRNA from 1 species
UACGUAGGUGGCGAGCGUUAUCCGGAUUUAUUGGGCGUAAAGCGUGCGCAGACGGUUUGUUAAGUCUAAAAUUAAAGCCCGAAGCUUAACUUCGGUUCGUUUUAGAAACUGGCAGGCUUGAGUAUAGUAGAGGUAAACGGUAUUUCUAGUGUAGCGGUAGAAUGUGUAGAUAUUAGAAGGAACACCAGUGGCGAAGGCGGUUUACUGGGCUAUUACUGACGUUCAUGCACGAAAGCGUGGGGAUCGAACA